GCCGGUGUAGCCCAAUGGCAGGAGGCAGCCGCCUUAGAAGCGGUAUAGUGUGGGUUCGACUCCCUCCACCGGUA
rnacentral:tRNA from 2 species